CAGCCCUUGACAUGUGACUCGCCGGUCCCAGAGAUGGGACCUUCGGUUCGGCCGGAGUCAACACAGGUGCUGCAUGGCUGUCGUCAGCUCGUGUCGUGAGAUGUUGGGUUAAGUCCCGCAACGAGCGCAACCCUCGUCUCCAGUUGCCAUCAGGUUAUGCUGGGCACUUUGGAGAAACUGCCGGUGACAAGCCGGAGGAAGGUGGGGAUGACGUCAAGUCCUCAUGGCCCUUACGGGCUGGGCUACACACGUGCUACAAUGGCGGUGACAAUGGGAUGCGAUGGCGCGAGCCGGAGCCGAUCCUAAAAAACCGUCUCAGUUCGGAUUGCACUCUGCAACUCGAGUGCAUGAAGUUGGAAUCGCUAGUAAUCGAGGAUCAGCAUGCCUCGGUGAAUACGUUCCC
rnacentral:rRNA from 1 species